CCUACGGGCGGCAGCAGUGAGGAAUAUUGGUCAAUGGCCGUAAGGCUGAACCAGCCAAGUAGCGUGAGGGAAGACUGCCCUAUGGGUUGUAAACCUCUUUUAUGCGGGGACAAAGGUGUCCACGAGUGGAUGUUUGCAGGUACCGCAUGAAUAAGGACCGGCUAAUUCCGUGCCAGCAGCCGCGGUAAUACGGAAGGUCCGGGCGUUAUCCGGAUUUAUUGGGUUUAAAGGGAGCGUAGGCCGGCCUUUAAGCGUGCCGUGAAAUUUUGUGGCUCAACCAUGGGAGAGCGGCGGGAACUGGCGACCUGGAGUGGGCGGAAGGCAGGCGGAAUGCGUGGUGUAGCGGUGAAAUGCUUAGAUAUCACGCAGAACCCCGAUUGCGAAGGCAGCCUGCCGCAGCGAUACUGACGCUGAAGCUCGAAAGCGCGGGUAUCGAACAGGAUUAGAUACCCUAGUAGUC
rnacentral:rRNA from 1 species